rnacentral:rRNA from 1 species
UGAACACGGCCCGGGAGAACGCCCGGGCACAGGCCUCACACACGCAAGUCCGCGGGGAACGGCAUCACGCGCUGCACAUUUCCGGACGCCGACCGGCGCACGGGAGAGUCUUCGCGUAAUCAACCCGCCCUCUACUCGGGGAUCACCCCGUUCGAAAAGACGGCCUAAUCCCCGAAGUCGUUUUCAUCGACGGCAUUCGAUAUCGAAACAAAGGUUUUCCGGUAAGGGACGGGGACGCCUUCUGAUCAGCUAGUUCGGCGGGGCAACGGCCCACCAAGGCGACGAUCAGUAGGGGUUUCUGAGAGGAAGGUCCCCCACAUUGGAACUGAAACACGGUCCAAACUCCUACGGGAGGCAGCAGUGAGGAAAUAUUUGGUCAAUGGACGCCAGUCUGAACCAGCCAAGUAGCGUGCAGGAUGACGGCCCUAUGGGUUCGUAAACUGCUUUUAUGUGGGAAUAAAUUUGGCGCACGUGUGCGCCAUUUGCAUGUACCUCAUGAAUAAGGACCGGCUAAUUUCCUGCCAGCAGCCGCGGUAAUACGGAAGGUCCGGGGCGUUAUCCGGAUUUUAUUGGGUUUAAAGGGAGUGUAGGCGGUCUGUUAAGCGUGUUGUGAAAUUUAGGUGCUCAACAUUUAACUUGCAGCGCGAACUGUCAGACUUGAGUACACGCAGCGCAGGCGGAAUUCAUGGUGUAGCGGUGAAAUGCUUAGAUAUCAUGAGGAACUCCGAUCGCGAAGGCAGCCUGCGGGAGUGUUACUGACGCUUAAGCUCGAAGGUGCGGGUAUCGAACAGGAUUAGAUACCCUGGUAGUCCGCACAGUAAACGAUGGAUGCCCGCCGUUGGCGCCCUGCGCCUGCGGCCAAGCGAAAGCAUUAAGCAUCCCACCUGGGGAGUACGCCGGCAACGGUGAAACUCAAAGGAAUUGACGGGGGCCCGCACAAGCGGAGGAACAUGUGGUUUAAUUCGAUGAUACGCGAGGAACCUUACCCGGGCUUGAAUUGCAGUCGCUGCCCACAGAGACGUGGGCUUCCCUUCGGGGCGUCUGUGAAGGUGCUGCAUGGUUGUCGUCAGCUCGUGCCGUGAGGUGUCGGCUUAAGUGCCAUAACGAGCGCAACCCCCUUUCCCAGUUGCCAUCGGGUGACGCCGGGCACUCUGGGGACACUGCCACCGCAAGGUGCGAGGAAGGUGGGGAUGACGUCAAAUCAGCACGGCCCUUACGUCCGGGGCUACACACGUGUUACAAUGGCCGGUACAGAGGGACGGUGCAAUGCAAGUUGCAUCCAAUCUUGAAAUCCGGUCCCAGUUCGGACUGGGGUCUGCAACCCGACCCCACGAAGCUGGAUUCGCUAGUAAUCGCGCAUCAGCCAUGGCGCGGUGAAAUACGUUCCCGGGCCUUGCACACACCGCCCGUC